rnacentral:rRNA from 1 species
GACGAACGCUGGCGGCGUGCUUAACACAUGCAAGUCGAACGGAAAGGCCCUGCUUGCAGGGUGCUCGAGUGGCGAACGGGUGAGUAACACGUGGGUGAUCUGCCCCUUACUUUGGGAUAAGCCUGGGAAACUGGGUCUAAUACUGGAUAGGACCAUGCUGUAGGUGGUGUGUUGGAAAGUUUAUUUUCGGUAAGGGAUGAGCUCGCGGCCUAUCAGCUUGUUGGUGGGGUAAUGGCCUACCAAGGCGUCGCCGGGUAGCCGGCCUGAGAGGGUGGACGGCGACAUUGGGACUGAGAUACGGCGCAGACGCCUACGGGAGGCAGCAGUGGGGAAUAUUGCACAAUGGGCGCGAGCCUGAUGCAGCGACGCCGCGUGGGGGAUGACGGCCUUCGGGUUGUGAACUCCUUUCAGGCAUGACGAAACCCUUGUGGUGACGGUAGUGGUAGAAGAAGCACCGGCUAACUACGUG